ACCCAGAUGACGAGUUCCAAAUAGGACGAAACGCGCGUCCCAGAU
rnacentral:hammerhead_ribozyme from 1 species